rnacentral:rRNA from 1 species
UGGGGAAUUUUGCGCAAUGGGGGCAACCCUGACGCAGCAACGCCGCGUGCGGGACGACGGCCUUCGGGUUGUAAACCGCUUUCAGCAGGGAAGACCGACGACGGUACCUGCAGAAGAAGCCCCGGCUAACUACGUGCCAGCAGCCGCGGUAAUACGUAGGGGGCGAGCGUUAUCCGGAUUCAUUGGGCGUAAAGCGCGCGUAGGCGGCGCGCCAAGCGGAACCUCUAACCUCGGGGCUCAACCUCGAGCCGGGUUCCGAACUGGCGCGCUCGAGUUCGGUAGAGGCAGGCGGAAUUCCCGGUGUAGCGGUGGAAUGCGCAGAUAUCGGGAAGAACACCGAUGGCGAAGGCAGCCUGCUGGGCCGACACUGACGCUGAGGUGCGAAAGCUAGGGGAGCGAACAGG